CUUUUUUGCUAUCUGCGAUAUUCAAAAAUUCGAACCUGCAGCAGGUUCGAGUUGAGCGUAGCGAAACAACGGAGCCGCUUGCGGCGACGACCCGAAGGGCGAGCGAAGCGAGUCAUCCUGCACGACCCACCA
rnacentral:sRNA from 2 species